AGUAUGCCAGUUACAAAAAUCUGACGCUGCGUGUACUAUUCUAAUGACAAAUUUUGUGAUCGGAUAUGUCACACCCAUUUUAUAAUCAGUGUCCUUAAUGACUAAUGAUCAAUAUUUAACAACUUUCAAAGUAAUUACAGUAAGUCCCUUCAAAUGUGAAAUGUUUUAGCUGGAGGUUUCUUACAAUUUGGACAUUGUCAUUGGGAUUGUCAGAUAAAAACUGCAAGGGUUUAAAUCAUAUUUUGGGUUAAUGGAUAAAAAGUACAUUUGAGAAAAGGUCCUUUCCCUGAUGAGGGACUUUUUAUAGUCAUAUUUAUCUAAAUUGUGUAAAAUAACAAAUCCAUCAAUGUAAAUUUAUGAGGUAACAUUUAUGUCUGCAGCACAAAUGUCUUCGAGAUAAGUUACAUGCCAUAAUACUUUGGUUGACCGCAGGCAUGAGCAACAGCAAUAGAACUGUCAUUAUUACCAAAAGAUACUAUCUUUAUAUGUUAUAAACUGGUUUACAAACAAAACUAUAAGUGGCUUGUGUACACACUUGUGUGCCUGACUUACACAAUACUGUCUCUUUAAUUAUUAAAAACUGAGGCCAAUCGAGUGCAUCUAUGUCUCUCUCCAGCACAAACAGGUCUGGGGACACAACACGCCAGGAGAGACACACAAUCAAAGGGCAAAACAAAGGGAGCCUUACAACGUCUGACAGCGUGUUGACUGCUCAGGGUUCGAGAACAACCUUGAAAAUGUAGCAAUGGGGGGAACAGAGCUGAAAUGGUCCUUCCACAGCGGCACUACCCAGGGUUUCGUGGGGACUAUGAAUAUGUGGCGGUGACAGAGAUUGGUAACUGUGUCCGGGAACUAAUUGGUCUCUGGUGGGCUGUCAUUGGGUACUGACUUCAGGACAGUUUGACAGGAAGAGCCGGAGUGUUCUGACAGCAGGAGGCUGCUAUUUCAGCCAUUAAAAGAGGGAGAGAGCGGGAGAAAGAGCAGGACUGAAUCAUGCGUGUAUGUGUGUGUACCUGGGGUUGGUGAGGUUGUAACAGGACUUCCAGAUCUGCAGCAUGCGUUUGCAGGUGAGCAGCGCCUCCUCGGGCCCUCGACACAACGUCUCCAACUUCACCUUUGUGAAUAAAAGACUGCGGAGAGAGAGAGAAAAACAACAACAUCUAACUUCUGUUGGUUUCCUCUCUUUCACACUUCGCUCUCUUCCUGUGACAGUUCUGUCUUUUACCCGGUUAUUUCUCCUUCCUGUGUGUCUUGUGAAGUGUUUUAAAAACAGUGUGAAGAGAGUACAGUCGAGUUUACUGAACACAGAUUAAGACAAAUCUGUUCAGCUAUUGUAAAUACAUUACAUAAAUAAUAAUUGUAUAGUGUU